UACGUAGGAUCCAAGCGUUGUCCGGAAUUACUGGGUAUAAAGGGUGCGUAGGCGGGCUUGUGCGUCAGGGGUUAAAUCCCACGGCUUAACCGUGGAGCUGCCCUUGAAACGGCAAGUCUUGAGUGCGAGAGAGGAUGGUAGAAUUCUUGGUGUAGCGGUGAAAUGCGUAGAUAUCAAGAGGAAUACCAGUGGCGAAGGCGGCCAUCUGGCUCGUCACUGACGCUGAGGCACGAAAGCGUGGGUAG
rnacentral:rRNA from 1 species